rnacentral:tRNA from 1 species
GUGGGUAUAGCUCAGUGGUAGAGCACAUGCUUGGCAUGCACGAUGUCCUGGAUUCAACCCCCAGUACCUCCA